UAACUGGAUUGAAAUAUUUAACAAUUAAAAUGUUGUAUUUCAACUGUCAGUAACUUACUACAAUAUAAAAAUGGCCUAAAAACACAUUUUAGUGCUGCACUCUGUUGCUAUCUACGUUAAAUUAAUACUAAAAGUCAUUUAGUAAAUGAUAAGGACCGGUUUAGCACUUAACAUCUACAAUUGUUUUUAAUGAUGCAAUUGGUAAACUAUUCAUUAAGAAUGUAUAUUUAUAUACUGUGUUAGUAAAGUUCACUAGGGUAAAGUACUUAGAUUAAACUGUAUCCAAGGCUUCUAUGUAACAGAAGUUAUUGUGAAUGAUGACUCAAAUUGU